UACGUAGGGUGCGAGCGUUAAUCGGAAUUACUGGGCGUAAAGCGUGCGCAGGCGGUUCGUUAAGUUCGAUGUGAAAGCCCCGGGCUCAACCUGGGAACUGCAUUGGAAACUGGCGAGCUUGAGUAUGGCAGAGGGGGGUGGAAUUCCGCGUGUAGCAGUGAAAUGCGUAGAGAUGUGGAGGAACACCGAUGGCGAAGGCAGCCCCCUGGGCUAACACUGACGCUCAUGCACGAAAGCGUGGGGAGCAAACAGG
rnacentral:rRNA from 1 species